GCUGCAGCAAAAUCUGCAGCCGGGCCUCUCAACCCCGAAUGACAAGAAGCGCACAACACGCGCCAGCGUGUUUUUU
rnacentral:sRNA from 1 species